ACCUCGGUCGGCGUACGGCACGGUGUCGCCCUCGCGAGUCCUGCGACGGGCGCAGGCUGCCGGCGGCGGGGCCGCAUUCUGCAGCCGCUGCACGGGUAACCGAUCCGAUGGGCGGCCGCCCGGCUAUUUUCGGAAAAUACUAAUUUGGAAUGGAUGGUACUCGCGACUCGUAAGCGAACUCCAUCGGUUGACUCCAUUUUUAGACCUGAUCUGCGCCUGCGCACCGUGCGCCGCCGCCAGUGCUCCACCGGCUCCCGGCUGGCUGCGUCGCGCGCUGGCGCCGCGUGCGCACACUGACCGGCGUUCAUUAGUGAUCAAUCGAUACUUUAACGACGCGACACAACGUAAACUAUACCGGUCGUGACAAUAUCCUCGUAGUAAGUGCUUUAGUGAUCAAGAAGAGAAGAGAAGAGCGACAGAAGAGAUAUCCUGGCCUUGCGCUAGUUCCGUGCUUCCUUACUUCCCAUAGUGCUUUAAUUCAUAUGGAAUGUAAAGAAGUAUGGAGCUGCGCCGGCUGAUCUACUUAUUGAAGAAUUGAAGAAACCAUCAACUUGAAGAAUUGUGUUAAACUAUUAUAAUACCAGUGGAACUCGAAACCGUACUUACAAUUAUAGUGUGAGGUGUCCUGUUUAUUUAAUUAUUACUACUUGCUUAGGACAUUAUUGUUAAACACUCCCUGACAUCUGGCAAUGUGUUGGAUCACAAACAUAAAUAAAGUAUGGCCGGAUGACGAACACAUCUUGAGCCGUUCCAGCCAGCUAUAUUUAUAAUUACAAUUCCAAAGAAAGCUCCAGAAAGAUCGAGCCGCGUUUCGAUUUACAAAUAAAUUGAUAAAAUCUCUUCUAUACCUAUAACUUAUUACAGUCUUUUUGAAAACCUUAGUUAAACAAUAGAACAAUAUAAUUUUGUUAAAAUGUAAUCUUUUAGACUGGUGUAAAAUGUGUAAGGUCGUAAUAUUGUCGGGAUCUUGCGUGUGGUGGCAAAAAAGUUCCGAAGACAAAAAAAUGGUUUCGGCGGGUGCGCCACAUCUGGUGAAACAGUGCAUCUCAUUAUGCGCGGCGGUCUCACUUGGAUGGCGGUGCAGACGGUUCCUAUACCAUAUUGUCUUUGUAGCCCAUCCUUACUUUCGUCGCGCAUUGUUUUACGACAAAUGGACCAUAAAGCGGCCCCUGUCUGUUAAUCACUGAACCGAUGUUAAUUUUUAUACACAUCAUACUUAUUAUUAAUAACUUUUUAAAUUUCAAUGUGAAAUCACGGCCAGUUGUGAGACUUAUUUAAAUAAACAAAUGAAUGCUCUUAUUAUUGUUUUAGAUGAAGAUAUCUUGAUUGCAUCUACGGGGGGAUCUGACUCUACAGCGAGCAGUAUAAGCAGUUCAAACGAACAACUGCAAGAGGCGUGGUUGUCUGUCUGCAGUCGGCGGUUUAGAUAAACACACUGCUUACACACACUCACAUCUAGAUCCCAGACAGCACAAUUAUAAUGUGGCCGCAUUCAUAUUAAUUCACUUACGUAGCUUUACAUUUUGCAGCCUCGCUUCUUCACUAACAAUUCGCGUUUACGUCAAGAAAUAGUAAAAACCAUAGACUAACAAUAUAUAUAUUUUUUAAUUAAGAGACGAGACGAGCAGGACGUUCAGUUGAUGAUAUUUGAUACGCCCUGCACAUUACAAUGCAGUGCCGCUCAGGAUUCUUGAAAAACACAAAAAUUCUGAGCGGCAAUACAAUAGCGCUCGUCGCCUCGAGACAUAAGAUCAGACAUGUCUCAUUUGCCCAGUAAUUUCACUAGCUACGGCGCCCUUUAGACCGAAACACGGCAGAAAUGGGCGCCGUUGUGGUACCCAUAAUCUAGCCGGCAUCCUGUGCAAAGGAGCCUCCCAGAGAAAAGAACAUCUCUAACGGAAAUUCAGCAAGAAAGAAAAGGUAAGCCAAUCUAUUGUUACUGUAAUCGAUUUUGAUUGACAGGUCUUAAUCAGUCAGCCACGCUUGGCGUUAGCUCCUUAGUAUUUUUAAUAUUAGCUAACGCACACAUUGAGAAAUCAAAAUUGGUCACGUAUUAUCGGACUCUCAGGUUGUCUAUACGUUAAUAUAUCUUAAGUCUAUGGUAAGAAAGAUUCGUGUGCAAGCUCUGAAUCCUGGUUCGACUACAUCCUCACCCUUUCAAAGCUCCUGUCGUUUACCGCCGCACAAAGGCGUUUUCUAUGAGAAAGGGAUCUUGACCUUCCAGUUCGACUCACAAAAUUCACUUUGAAAAACAAUUUAUUCAUGCAUCCGUGCAACGAGCAUCGCUCACAAAAGAAUGUAAAACUAGACAGGGGCGUAAUGAAUGCUAGUCAAAGAGAGCUUUAAUAGAGUUACUUACGUGCCAUUCGCUUUACUAUUCAAUAGUGAAUGGUGGCUCCGUGAUCCGAGGGGUUGAAACCGAGCAAUCCUAGAAAUGUUUUGUUACUAUCUCUCUUUACUGAUACCUUGUCCGAAUAUGCUAAUAGGGUAACUAUAAAAUUGUAUUCAUUUAUGUUGUUUUUACUAUUGAAUCUUAACGUGUGAUGAAUUAUUAAAAUCCCGUGUCGCUCAGGUAAAAAUCGUACCGAUUCAAGACUCCAAAUACAGCCAGGACAUAUGCUGACAAAAUGGAGCACUUUCAAUUACAGCAGCUUUAUCCUCGCGACAUGUUAUUUCUCCAUAGGCUAAUAAACGGCAACAUUGAUUGUCCGGCUGUGUUACUUUAAUUUAAAUUUAUAUUAUUUAUUCUAUCCUGCCAGAAUACCAUGACAUCUACUUAUUUGUUUGAGCCAAGUUUCUGUUAAACCAAUCUAGGACGUGAUUCACCGUGUGGUACGCAUUUCUCGUCGCUAUAAUGACUAUACAAAGAAAAGUCCAAAUAUCGACAUUAUUUUUGAUAGUUUUUAACAAAUUUAAAUUAAAGCUCAUAAAGUGACUUAUCUACAGCCUCAGAAUAUAGUACUUAGGUAGUCUUAAGUAUAAAUUGGUUGGAAUAUUGCAUUCACUGAACUGUAAUUAAUAUAAAUAACUCGUAAUUUACUAAUUUGAACAAUAUUUUUCUAGAUUUCUCCUUAUUCAUAAUUUUUACAACACAAAGCAUGAUUACCUUUAAUUGUAGGAAAAGUUAGAUUUUAUAAUUUAAUGCAAUGUAAUACUAAUAAAUAUAUAUAUAUAUAUAUAAUAAUGUUUUUCUUUGGGGAUAUCUUAAGGCUAAAGUUUACGACACCAACCCAGUAACUCUUGACGAAUUAAAGGAUCGUAUUCGCACAGAAAUCCAAAACAAUCAUUGCAUAUGGAUGAUGUGAUUUUUAAGAAAUAAAUUCCCCUUUUGUUUACUAUCGAAAACAAUAAACAAUUUUGAUCUACUGUAAUUAGUUUUUUUUAAUCAUCAUACCAAUUAUAAACGGACUUUUGGUCCUUUCUGUAUUAACACUGUAACAACUAUUCCGUAUGUUGGAUGUACGGUGAUCCAUUAAAUAAUUAAAUAAAAAAUUAUAGAAUAAUCAAAAAAAAAUGUUAGUGUCAAGGAACACGUUUGGAUGACGUAAAAAUAGCUCACAAACAAAUCUCUGGCAUCGAUCCAGAGGCCCGUGGAAGUCUCUGACUGACCGCCACUCAACUCGUAUACAUACUGAUUUAUUACUUUCUUAUAUCUUCACGAAGCUCAUUCACGAUAUCACACAUAAAAUCAAACUGAACCGUGCUAAAUAUAGCUGUUAUUUCUAAUAGAUCGAACGUGAUUAUACGGUCAUGUUACGUAAACACGAAAACGCAUAAAGUUUCAAGAUAACACAGACAUUUUCCAAAUUACUCCCCGGAUACUAAACAGCGUCAUAUAAUACAGUUAUGAAACCGCAAACUUUGCCGUGAAACUGCUGUAAAAUGUAAUGCAUAUAAAAUUUAGAAUUAAAGCAGGUAGCAAGCAGUGGGAAGAGUUCGGUACAACUUGUGAGUUUUGUUACUUGCCAGCAUUAACGUGGUUUUAUACGAGUUGAGCUGUUCGUACAACAGAAGGCUCGAUUUAUGUGACAAAUCGCUUAUUUCAUUUUUAAUAAAUGCGUACGGUAGCGCGGCUGGGCGCUGAUAUCGCCACAUAAAAUAUAUUGAUAUGCAGGAAAAACUGAGACAGUGUGAAUACUUGAAAAGGACACGAAUAUGACAUUGAGCGCGACGGAUAAAUCUUGCAAAAUAGAUUCCUUGAUUUGAGUAGGUUAUUGUACCCACAAUUCCUUCUUUUGUUUCGUAAAUGUCUCACUAGCAACCGAGAUGAAAUAAUUUAAUUUAAUAUUAAAGUUAUCUAAGUAUGACAAAAUUUAUUCUUUUGAACUUUUUUUUUUCACGAGUUAGAUGGACAAACGAGUACACAUCAGAGUAUCGCAGGAAUGUAGCCGGCCUUUAAUAUGGGUGGUACUUCUUUUAAUUACAUUGCGUUAUUAAAAUACCAAUACUAAUUCAUUUAAAUAUAUUAAUAUAUAAAACAUUAUAAUACUUCUAAGAAAAAGGUGAGUACUCACUGUUAUGUUAUUUAUUGUCAUUAACAAAUACUUUUAGGGUGCACUACUUCUAAAAGAAAUAAUGAAGUCUGCAAGUUGAAAUUAACAACAGAUAAUAUGUAAGUUGUAACGUUUGCAGUGUUAACUUAUCUCUUAAGUCAUUAUGUUAGUCAGACACUACGCACCCUGUAUUUGAUAAUCGGAAACUGGAUAUAUUUUGAUACAUUUCGAUACUUUCAAAGUGUGUGAGAAAUUGUUCCAUAAACGAUAACCUACUAUUACCACAGAGAAAGAAGUCGACAAGUGAAUGCAAUUUAGUUGUAACUUCCAAUAUUUCCUCAUAAGUCUAGAAUAUUUUCGUUUCUUCCUUACACAUGGAGGUGUUUUUUUUUUCUUUUGAAAACCUUUUCCAAAUUGUUACUCUUUGGAACUGAGGUAUCAAUUUGUCGAUUGCCAUUUGCUUGGCAAUUAGUUAUUACCACUUUUUAUUACGCUCAUUCCGAAGUUAUGCGAAUCAAAUUAAGAUAUAUUCCGAAGAGAGCGAUGUUAGGUAGUGACUGUAUUGGUAGACUCAGCUCUGCUGCAUACGCCGUUAGAAAGAUUAGAGAAUUACACGAAUGUUACUACGGCUAGAUUAGUGUACUUCAAUUAUUUUCACAGCAUCAUGACGUACAGUAUUUUGCUGUGGGGUCAGACUGACAUUGAUAGAGUUUUUGCGCUGCAAAAGGAAGCUGUUCCUGCUAUAUAUCAGCUUGGUUAUAGAUAGUCGUUCAAAGAAAUAUACUUAGUCUGGCCAUAAAUACUGUAAAAAUUAAUGUCAUUUUGGGGCCAAUACAUUGUACAAUAUCUUGCGGUAUUAUAAUGGAGUGGGGUGAUAAAAAGAACCGCAAUUCGGCGAUGUGAUUGCAUUACACAAAGGAGGUAUGGAUAAGAAAUUUUGUAUAAGGAUAAGAUUUUUUACAAUUGAGCAACAUGACCGUACAACAAACUAAAUGACCGUAUUUAUGCUCAAAGCUCUAAGGAAGCUUCCCAAUUAGUCGACAGAGUGCAACGUGCGCACUAUCCGACUUCAGUGAGGUUUUGGUGGGAUAUUAGCUAUGAAGGAGUGACUGAGCCAUACUUUUGUGAAAAAGGUAUCAAUAUACCGGCACAAGUGUAUCAAGAUACCAUUCUUGAUUCAUAUUCGUCUACUCAGUCUUGGUUGGAAACGAACGUUUUGCACUUCAUCAGAGCUGAAGACUGGCCGUCGUCUAGUCCCGAUCUUAAUCCGCUGGGUUACGAUUUAUGUAGUAGUUUUUUUUCCUUUCAAUAAGUGAUUUCACAUCCUAUUUUGAAUACAAAUAUUUGAAUUUGAAUGGUCAGUUUUAGAGUACUCUCUAAAAUGUUUACGCCAUUAUAAUUUGGAGUCCCUAAAACAAUCCUUACGAUGGGCAGUGAAGAAUUUUCCCAUGGAAAGAGUGCGUGCUUCUAUUGAUAACUGGCCUCGACGUUCAAAUGACUGUAUUGCAGCCAAUGGAGACGACUUCGAAUAAGUUUUUAUAUUUUAAAUUGUUUUGUAUCUAUGUAUUAAACUAACACAUUGUAAAAGUAAUAAAUGUUAUUUGCAAUCGAAUUUUUUUCCUUGUUCCAGUAUUUAUGGCAAGACUAGGUAUUAUGCAAUACUCACUUAAUGCCUUACUUACAAUCUUAGAUAAUGAAUACGUCAAGAUAGUCUCUUGCUAUUAGACAACCGAUAAAAACAGGCCAGGAAUAUUAAUUCAGUAUGCGUGACAAGCUACGUCUUACACUCGCGAUUUGUAUAACACUUUUUGUUAGUGUGCGUGAAUUGCUCUAAAUAGAGUUUUUUUAUGGAAUAGGAGGACAAACGAGCGUACGGGUCACCUGGUGUUAAGUGAUCACCGCCACCCACACUCUCCUGCAACACCAGAGGAAUCACAAGAGCGUUGCCGGCCUUUAAGGAAGGUGUACACGCUUUUUUUGAAGGUACCCAUGUCGUAUCGUCCCGGAAACACCGCACAAGGAAGCUCAUUCCACAGCUAGGUUAGUUCUAAACACAAUUUUCUUCGACGUUUUCACAGCUCUCCUAGUCUAUCUAGACUUAUAAAUGAUCUAAGCUUACAAUCUGACACUACGUAUCAUUCGUCGGAGAGUGCGUUUCAUAAAUCAAGUUUAAUUAAUACCUACAGCAAGCACCAGAGUAGUACAACUUUAAUUGAACUUAAUGUAAUUGAACAUCUAAGCAAUGCAAUAUUUAUUGCAGCUGUUGACAGUAUGGGAUCACCCCAACUAUCAUUAUACUACUGUUCAAAGAUUACCUUCAAGUUUUAAAAUCCACACAUUUCCUUAUUACUGCAUAUUUUUAAUGCACCGGAUUGUCAAGAAAAAUCGAUCUCGAACGAAGUACCUAUUUCUGCCGUGAAGCAGUCAUGUAUUACUGUAUUUCGGUCUGAAGAGCGCCGUAGCUAGUGAAAUUUCUGGGCAAAUGAGUCUUAACAACUUACGUCUCAAGGUGACGAGCGCAAUUGCAGUGCUCCUUGAAAAAUCCAAAAAUUCGGAGCGGCACUGCAUUGUAAUGGGCACGGCGUAUGAAUUACCAUCAGCUGAACAUCCUGCUCGUCUCGUCCCUUAUUUUCAUAAAAAGAAAUCUCGAACGUAGUACUCACAUGACGGUUUACAUAAGGUUUUUUUUUCAUUUCGUGGUAGGUACGGGUGGUAAAUUGUUCAUGAAAUCGAUAAAGUGUGUGUUAUGUUAUAAUGUAAGGUCAUCAUACAAUCCCCUCUUUAUAUGUGUAUACUCUCUUACGCCAUCAAGCCUCCGCAGUGGUUUAACGAUCAGCGCCAUCUAUUGAAAGUUUAAUUAAUAUACCAAUGAUUUAAGAUGGCUUACGGGAAGAAACAUAUUUUUCUUUGAAAACAUCUUAAUAAAAUGUUCGCAUAAUACUUUUAUUUAUAGUGUGUAGAUUGAAUUCAUGAUGAGGUCAAGAUGUUAUCUCAGGGAAGGGAAAAGGGAAAGAGGCACACCCCAGAAAAGAUGAGAUGAUUAUAUGAGAGAAGUGGCAGCAGUACGUGGAACAGAGUGGCUCAAGAAAGGUUGAAGGAGGCCUUUGCCGAUUGGUAAAAAGAUCAACAGAAUCUUUCCCGUACACGAGACAAUGAAAGAGAAUUGGCGCCAGUUCGUAGCAAAAGAGAGAUGUGAAGAAUUUUUAAAGCUUACAGGAUCUUAACAUUUUAAUAUAUACCAGUUUACAGAAC